rnacentral:rRNA from 1 species
UACGUAGGUGGCAAGCGUUGUUCGGAAUUACUGGGCGUAAAGCGUGCGCAGGCGGUUUUGUAAGCCAGAUGUGAAAGCCCCGGGCUUAACCUGGGAAUGGCAUUUGGGACUGCAAGGCUUGAGUGCGGCAGAGGAGACUGGAAUUCCUGGUGUAGCAGUGAAAUGCGUAGAUAUGUGGAGGAACACCGAUGGCGAAGGCAGCCCCCUGGGUCAAGACUGACGCUCAUGCACGAAAGCGUGGGGAGCAAACAGG